rnacentral:rRNA from 1 species
AUUGAACGCUGGCGGCAUGCCUUACACAUGCAAGUCGAACGGCAGCACGGGAGCAAUCCUGGUGGCGAGUGGCGGACGGGUGAGUAAUAUAUCGGAACGUGCCCAGUAGUGGGGGAUAACUACUCGAAAGAGUGGCUAAUACCGCAUACGACCUGAGGGUGAAAGCGGGGGAUCGCAAGACCUCGCGCUAUUGGAGCGGCCGAUAUCAGAUUAGCUAGUUGGUGGGGUAAAGGCCUACCAAGGCAACGAUCUGUAGUUGGUCUGAGAGGACGACCAGCCACACUGGGACUGAGACACGGCCCAGACUCCUACGGGAGGCAGCAGUGGGGAAUUUUGGACAAUGGGCGCAAGCCUGGUCCAGCAAUGCCGCGUGCAGGAAGAAGGCCUUCGGGUUGUAAACUGCUUUUGUCAGGGAAGAAAUCCUCUAGGUUAAUACCCUUGGGGGGAUGACGGUACCUGAAGAAUAAGCACCGGCUAACUACGUGCCAGCCGCCGCCGUAAUAC